CAGCCGCCGCGGUAAUACGAAGGGUGCAAGCGUUACUCGGAAUUACUGGGCGUAAAGCGUGCGUAGGUGGUGGUUUAAGUCCGUUGUGAAAGCCCUGGGCUCAACCUGGGAAUUGCAGUGGAUACUGGGUCACUAGAGUGUGGUAGAGGAUGGUGGAAUUCCCGGUGUAGCGGUGAAAUGCGUAGAGAUCGGGAGGAACAUCAGUGGCGAAGGCGGCCAUCUGGGACAACACUGACGCUGAGGCACGAAAGCGUGGGGAGCAAACAGGAUUAGAUACCCCUGUAGUCCCUGUCUCUUAUAC
rnacentral:rRNA from 1 species